rnacentral:lncRNA from 1 species
AGAGAAGAGCAAUCUACAAAGUGAUAAUUAUUCUUGAUGCGGGAUUUGCACCCUGUCACCAGCAGAGUCCCCACCAAUCCGAGCAGCGGAAGAGAAAGUGUCCCUCAGAAGGUAUUGUCCGCUUUGGAUCCGAUUUGGGGGUCGAGCGUACCCGGAGCCCUCCUCACGGCGCCUCACGGUUUUGCCCCACAAAAGGCGCCUCCUGAGGAAAGGGUUAUUGAGNNNNNNNNNNNNNNNNNNNNNNNNGACUAAAUUCGGAGAACUCUCCGUAACACAGCCCCCCCAGCGGGAAGGUCCUGUGCCCGGGUCGGCUCCUUACUGGAUAGGCGGAGGGCCGAGGCCCUCCUUCUAGCGCCAUCUGAUGCGGGAUUUGCAUUCCGUCACCAGCAGAGUCCCCACCGAUCCGAGCAGCGGAAGAGAAAGUGUCCCUCAGAAGGUAUUGUCCGCUUUGGGUCCGAUUUGGGGGUCGAGCGUACCCGGAGCCCUCCUCAUGGCGUCUCACAGUUUUGCCCCACAAAAGGCGCCUCCUGAGGAAAGGGUUAUUGAGCCCCCCAUUAUAUGGCACAGACCUUCCCGCUACACGGUCGAUGUGGGACUAAAUUCGGAGAACCCCCCGUAACAAUUCUCUUACCUCUUCUUUGAGUGCAUAAUUGUGUUACUUGCUCAUUUAGAAGCUUUAUAUUUUUUUUCUUUCAUUCCUUGUAAGGUUUAUUGGUGAGCCCGUAAAACCAACGGUGUAGGUUGUUGGUAAGUCCGUAAAACCAACGGUUAGGUUUAAUUGGUGAUCCCGUAAAACCAAUUAUAGGAUUUUUGGAUUGUGAGUCCGGUAAAACAAUCCAACUGUAAUCUGAGGGAUUAUAGUGAAUUUCCAAGAAAACACUUGGAAAGUUGACUUAGGUUCCUUAGAGUGCACCGAACCACUAUACUUUGCUUGUGUUUGUAUUGUGUUUGUUUUGUUUCAAUUGCACUUAUACAAUUUACAUAAGCUAAAGUAUUCAUCCAUCUAUAAGUAAAAUUUAAGGCCUUAAAAUUUAGAAAACUCAAUUCAUCCCCCCCUCCUCUUGGG